rnacentral:rRNA from 1 species
UACGUAGGGCGCAAGCGUUGUCCGGAAUUAUUGGGCGUAAAGAGCUCGUAGGCGGUUUGUCGCGUCUGCUGUGAAAACUGGAGGCUCAAACCUCCAGCCUGCAGUGGGUACGGGGCAGACUAGAGUGCGGUAGGGGAGAUUGGAAUUCCUGGUGUAGCGGUGGAAUGCGCAGAUAUCAGGAGGAACACCGAUGGCGAAGGCAGAUCUCUGGGCCGUAACUGACGCUGAGGAGCGAAAGCAUGGGGAGCGAACAGG